rnacentral:rRNA from 1 species
GGAGGAUCCAAGCGUUAUCCGGAAUCAUUGGGUUUAAAGGGUCCGUAGGCGGUUUUGUAAGUCAGUGGUGAAAGCCCAUCGCUCAACGGUGGAACGGCCAUUGAUACUGCAAGACUUGAAUUAUUAGGAAGUAACUAGAAUAUGUAGUGUAGCGGUGAAAUGCUUAGAUAUUACAUGGAAUACCAAUUGCGAAGGCAGGUUACUACUAAUUGAUUGACGCUGAUGGACGAAAGCGUGGGGAGCGAACAGGAUUAGAUACCCUGGUAGUCCACGCCGUAAACGAUGGAUACUAGCCGUUCGGAGCAAUCUGAGUGGCUAAGCGAAAGUGAUAAGUAUCCCACCUGGGGAGUACGUUCGUAAGAAUG